rnacentral:tRNA from 1 species
GGGGAUUUAGCUUAGCAGAAGCAUCUGCCUGGCAAGCAGAAGGUUGUGAGUUUGAUCCCCGCUUCCCCCA